rnacentral:rRNA from 1 species
CAUACCUCUUUUUUAAGGGAUAGGGUCGGUUCGGCCGGAUUUUACACAGGUGUUGCAUGGCUGUCGUCAGCUCGUGUCGUGAGAUGUUGGGUUAAGUCCCGCAACGAGCGCAACCCUCAUCCUUAGUUGCCAUCAGGUAAUGCUGAGCACUUUAAGGAAACUGCCAGUGAUAAGCUGGAGGAAGAUGGGGAUGAUGUCAAGUCAUCAUGGCCUUUAUGAAGUGGGCUACACACGUGCUACAAUGGUGUCUACAGUGGGCUGCAAGGUGCGCAAGCCUAAGCUAAUCCCUAAAAGACAUCUCAGUUCGGAUUGUACUCUGCAACUCGAGUGCAUGAAGUUGGAAUCGCUAGUAAUCGUGGAUCAGCAUGCCACGGUGAAUACGUUCUCGGGUCUUGUACACACUGCCCGUCACGCCAUGGGAAUUGGUUUCUUCCAAAGCU